AGUGAACGCUGGCGGUAGGCCUAACACAUGCAAGUCGAACGGCAGCACAGUAAGAGCUUGCUCUUACGGGUGGCGAGUGGCGGACGGGUGAGGAAUACAUCGGAAUCUACUUUUUCGUGGGGGAUAACGUAGGGAAACUUACGCUAAUACCGCAUACGACCUACGGGUGAAAGCAGGGGAUCUUCGGACCUUGCGCGAUUGAAUGAGCCGAUGUCGGAUUAGCUAGUUGGCGGGGUAAAGGCCCACCAAGGCGACGAUCCGUAGCUGGUCUGAGAGGAUGAUAAGCAACACUGGAAGGGAGAAGGGGUCGAGACUCCGAGGGGAGGAAGAAGGGGGGAAUAUUGAAAAAGGGGCGAAAGCAUGACAAAGCAAUACCGGGGGGGAAAAGAAGGCCUUGGGGUUGAAAAGCCGUUUUGUGGGGAAAGAAAAGCAGAAGGUAAAUACCCGGGUGUUGUGACGGUACAAAAAAAAUAAGAACCGGCUAACUUCGUG
rnacentral:rRNA from 1 species